rnacentral:rRNA from 1 species
AUUGAACGCUGGCGGCAGGCCUAACACAUGCACGUCGAACGAGUGGCGGACGGGUGAGUAAUGUCUGGGCAACUGCCUGAUGGAGGGGGAUAACUACUGGAAACGGUAGCUAAUACCGCAUACCAUCAGAUGUGCCCAGAUGGGAUUAGCUUGUUGGUGGGGUAACGGCUCACCAAGGCGACGAUCCCUAGCUGGUCUGAGAGGAUGACCAGCAACACGGGAACUGAGACACGGGCCAGACUCGUACGGGAGGAAGCAGAGGGUAAUAUUACACAAUGGGGGCAAUCCUGAGGCAGCCAUGCCGCGGGUAUGAAGAAGGUCUUCGGUUUGUAAAGUACUUUCAGUGGGGAGGCGUUACCCGCAGAAGAAGCACCGGCUAACUCCGUGCCAGCAGCCGCGGUAAUUC